rnacentral:rRNA from 1 species
CCUACGGGUGGCAGCAGUGGGGAAUAUUGCACAAUGGGGGAAACCCUGAUGCAGCGACGCCGCGUGAGUGAAGAAGUAUUUCGGUAUGUAAAGCUCUAUCAGCAGGGAAGAAAUAGCGACCUUUGGGUCGCCAGACGGUACCUGAUUAAGAAGUCCCGGCUAACGACGUGCCAGCAGCCGCGGUAGUACGUAGGGGGCAAGCGUUAUCCGGAUUUACUGGGGGUAAAGGGAGCGUAGACGGCAGCGCAAGUCUGAAGUGAAAUGCAGGGGCUUAACCCCGGAACUGCUUUGGAAACUGUGGUGCUAGAGUGCAGGAGAGGUAAGUGGAAUUCCUAGUGUAGCGGUGAAAUGCGUAGAUAUUAGGAGGAACACCAGUGGCGAAGGCGGCUUACUGGACUGUAACUGACGUUGAGGCUCGAAAGCGUGGGGAGCAAACAGGAUUAGAUACCCCGGUAGUC